rnacentral:snoRNA from 1 species
GUGAGGUGAUGACGAAGUUUAUCCAUUCUCUGAGUGCAGUGUGCUGCCCUCCUGCAGCACCCCGAUUCCUGUUCUAGGGUCUGGGUGCUGUGCAGCCUCCAGAGACCCUCCAGCUUCCCAGUGUCCUACUGGGGGCUGCUCUACAGGUCUGGCUUUAUUAACCUUGACAAACCUUCCAAUCCGUCUUCCCAUGAAGUGGUUGCAUGGAUCCGACGCAUCUUGCGAGUAGAGAAGACGGGGCAC